UACAUGGGGUGCAAACGUUGCUCGGAAUCAUUGGGCGUAAAGCGCGCGUAGGCGGUUACUUAAGUCGGGUGUGAAAGCCCUCAGCUCAACUGAGGAAGUGCGCCCGAAACUGCAGAGCUUGAGUGCCGGAGAGGGUGGCGGAAUUCCCCAAGUAGAGGUGAAAUUCGUAGAUAUGGGGAGGAACACCGGUGGCGAAGGCGGCCACCUGGACGGUAACUGACGCUGAGACGCGAAAGCGUGGGGAGCAAACAGG
rnacentral:rRNA from 1 species